UAAUAGCCUCAUCCUUCUAUGGGUUGUUUC
rnacentral:piRNA from 1 species